CCUACGGGGGGCAGCAGUGAGGAAUAUUGGUCAAUGGGCGCGAGCCUGAACCAGCCAAGUAGCGUGAAGGAUGACUGCCCUACGGGUUGUAAACUUCUUUUAUAAAGGAAUAAAGUGAGGCACGUGUGCCUUUUUGUAUGUACUUUAUGAAUAAGGAUCGGCUAACUCCGUGCCAGCAGCCGCGGUAAUACGGAGGAUGCGAGCGUUAUCCGGAUUUAUUGGGUUUAAAGGGAGCGUAGGUGGGUAGUUAAGUCAGGUGUGAAAGUUUGCGGCUCAACCGGAAAAUUGCAAUUGAUACUGGUUGUCUUGAGUACAGUUGAGGUAGGCGGAAUUCGUGGUGUAGCGGUGAAAUGCUUAGAUAUCACGAAGAACUCCGAUUGCGAAGGCAGCUUACUAAACUGCCACUGACAUUGAUGCUCGAAAGUGUGGGUAUCAAACAGGAUUAGAUACCCUUGUAGUC
rnacentral:rRNA from 1 species